CGGGGACCGGCCUCCGCCGCGGGCUCUGCCCGCUCGCCUGCUCGCCUGGUGGGGGAGAGGGGAGCGGGGCCGACACAGGACUGCAGUUGACAGCAGAUAACUGAAAGCUCGGAAAGCGAAACCGUGGAUAAGCAGGGGAACUGUGGCAUCCCAUUUAAAAUUGCUUCUGAAGAGAAGCAUGAGGUUACAUCUGUAAUCUCCCUGCAGCAGAGUCAACUGCAUAAGAAACCAAAAGACACACCUGCUCCAUGCCAGCCUAAGCCACCACAUAAAAAGUCAGACCAUCUGCUGGAAGAACCACAUGGAGAGGCCCUGAGUCAACAUGGAGAGGAAGAAGGACUUGACUGAAUCCAGCCUUCCAGCUGUCCCUACCAAGGUGCCAGGCAUGAGAAUGAAGCUGUCUUGAACUCUGAAGACCAGCUUAGCCACCAGAUGCCAAACACUGAGCAGGCUUUGUUCUCCACCCACAAACCAGAGGCUGUCUCAGCAGGAAGGAGUUGGAGUUGGAGAAAAAGGAGAAUUAAGAAUCUAUCUGGCGAUGUGGAUUAAAUAAACAACAAAUUGGCAGAUUGUUUUUAAAAGGCAGGAGAGCUGGGCAUCUAUGAGUGGGGACCCCAGGGGGACCUGCAAUCACCAGACUCACCUUCCAGAGCAGCACGGCCAGCAGCAGGAAGAUGAGGAUUCCCACCAACAAACUGAUGGCGAUGAUCCACCCCACGACGUAGCCACGGGGCUCCAGAUUGUGCAGGGCCUCGAAGACCACCUAGGAGGCAACGCAACAGUGAAAACAUUUCCUUUUUUAUUUUUUUUUUGAGACAGAGUCUUGUUCUGUCACCCAGGCUGGAGUGCAAUGGCACAAUCUCGGCUCACUGCAACCUCUACCUCCUGGGUUCAAGCGAUUCUCCUGCCUUAGCCUCCCAAGUAGCUGGGAUUACAGGUGCCUGGCUAAUGUUUUGUAUUUUUAGUAGAGACAGGGUUUCACCAUGUUGGCUAGGCUGGUCUCGAACUCCUGACCUCAGGUGAUCCACCCACCUCGGCCUCCCAAAGUUUUGGGAUUACAGGCACGAGCCACAGUGCCAGCUGAAAACGUUUCCUAAACAGAAGUGCGCAGAGCAUGAUGGAGCCCAGCCUGGGCUUGACAUUUGGAGAGAACUACAGAGAAGUAUCCAGACUGUUGUUACUAAUAAAUAAAUACAUAAGCUCCGCUGAACGAUUUUCUGGUUGCAAACUGAUGGAUUUUUCACUGGCACCUGAAAAGGCACUUGAAAUCCAAGCCCUAGGUCUUGAAAGGGUUGUAAUGACAACAACCCUGAUUUAAAUAUCAUGAAGUGAACAAAAGUGUACUGAAAAACUUAGAGGACACACUAUGUUCUUGAUUCAGAACAGAUAACGACAAUGUACCUUUUGUUUCAGCUUUGAAACAAAGAACACGGGAGUGCUCUGCAUGUAAGGCAGCUCUUCUUUCCAAGUGUUCAGCUCAAUGUGUCACUUAGAGGAAUUAUUUGAUUAAUGCCAGUUUCCCCAGUAGACUGUGGACCCCACUAGAGUUAGGACACAGUCUGUCUUGGGUCUCAUGGUAGGGCCUAGCACAUUGGAGAAACUCGUUCGAGAGGCUGUACUGUAGUUUCCCAUGGGAGCCACAGCAAUUGGAGCCCAUGUUCCAAUGAGGCAAGUUUUCCCAACUUUUCCUGAAACCCAGUGGUAUGUGGAACUGGCUCAUAUCAGCUCAUGAGAGGCAACUGUGCAUCUCUUCCUAACUCCGUACCUAGUGACAUUGCAAUGGCAGUUUGAAAUGGGCUAUGGUGGGAGUAUUUGGCAAACAAAUCAGGGCACCCCUACCCUCCUGCCAGAGAACUGAUUGUUAAACAUGUAUCAGUGCUCACUUCUGAUUGUCCCCUUCGGCUCUGCUUUAUCCCCACUGGUCACAGGGGAGUUUGGUUUUGCAGAAUUCAAAGCAUCUAUUGCGUCUUCUGCUACCAAAUAACUCUCCCCAAUACACCACUGUCCCAUUUAAGCUCCUCACUGCAAAAGACAAAAAAAUCACAGCUCUGGGCAGUCAUUCUCUCCUUUGGCUCCAGACAGGCUGGCCAACCACAGGUCUUUCUCCAAGCUUUGCCAUCUCUUUGGAAUGUCCAUUCCCCUUUGGGAAAGUCUUUUCUAAACCUAGUUCAAUCCUCUGUCAAGAAGCCUCACUGAUCGCUGAAGCCCACUGGUCCAGCCCCUUGCUCAAGCCCAAGCAGUGACUGGGCACAAUACUGAUGUUAUAAUGCCUAGCACUGCUUAUUUAACCUUUUUAGGGCCUGGCUUCCAUCCCUCUCUAACACUUAUUGAAUAUUGUCUGUGUCAGUUUAUGCUUUUUUUUGCAAUCUCUUGUCUAAGUCAUACAACAGCCCUAUGAGGUCUUCCACACCCAUUUUACAGAGGGGAACAUGGAGGUCCAGAGAGGAUAUUUGCUCUGGAUUGUGUAGUUCAAAUGCACAGUCACGAUUUGAACCCAGCUCUUAGCCAACCCCAAACCCCCAAAUCUGAGCUUGUCAUCACCACACUGCAGUGCCUGGUUGACAGUGGCCUUCUUUAUAGGCUACCUGUCAACUGAAUGAAUUACUUACUGGCUCUUCCCUGGUGAUAAGGAAAGAAAAUGAGACCACCUCUACUUCAUUGCCUCCAUUCCCGCAGCUGGGGUAGGAGAGUGUGUGCGUGUGCCAGGGGAUGAGGCAAAUGGACACACAGGCCACCACAGUUUCUGAGCCUCAGUUUUCUCAUCCGCAAGACAGGAGCAGAACAGUGCCUUCCCAGAAAUUGAAAAGGGGUAAUGCACACAGAGUCCCCAGCAUAGCAUCUGGCACAGAGUCCGCCCUUGACAAAUGGAGUGUUCCUGUUAGCAUCAUUGUAGGGAGUUUUUUUUGAGGUUGUGCAUGGCUGGCUACUUUUUAGUUUUUAUUUUAUUUUUUGAGACAGAGUUUCUCUCUGUCACCCAGGUGGAGUGCAGUGGUGCAAUCUCAGCUCACUGCAACCUCUGCAUCCUGGGUUCAAGCAAUUCUUGUGCCUCAGCUCCCAAAGUGCUGGCAUUAUAGGCAUGAGCCACCACUCCCAGCUCUUUUUACUUUUUAAAAAUUACUUAUUGAAGUCGAAUAUACAUAGAGAAAAGUAUAGGUAUCCUAAGUGUAUAGCUCGCUGAAUUUUCACAUACCAAAUGCUAAAUGCAUGUGUGUAACCAGCACUCAGAUCAAGAAACAGAAGGUGACCGGCUCCCUAGAAGCUCCCUUCCCCCUUCCUUCCAGUCCCCACCCCCACCAAGGAUGUCUAACAGCUUGGAUUAGCAUCACCUGCUUCUUUGGGUCCUUGCUAUGAAUGGAAUGAUGAUGUAUGAACUACAGUACCUGGUUUCAUUUCUUUUCUCUUUUCUUUUCUUUCUUUUUUUGAGACGGAGUCUUGCUCCGUUGCUCAGGCUGCAGUGCGGUGGGGCAAUCUCAACUCACUGCAACCUCUGCCUCCUGGGUUCAAGCAAUUCUCCUGUCUGAGCCUCCCAAGAAGCUGGGAUUACAGGCGCAUGCCACCACACUCGGCUGAUUUUUGUAUUUUUCAUAGAGACAGGGUUUCACCAUGUUGGCCUGGCUGGUCUCGAACUCCUGGCCUCGAACUCCUGGCCUCAGGUGAUCCACCUGCUUCAGCCUCCCAAAGUGCUGGGAUUACAGGCAUGCAUCUGGUUUCUUUCUCUCACUGUUAUGUUUGGGAAAUUGCUCCAGGCUGUGGCAUGUCCACUCUCACUGCUGUACAGUAUUCCUCUGUGUGGACAUACCACUGUUUAUUUAUUCAUGCUAUUAUUGAUAGGCAUGGAGAUUAUUUCCAGCUUGGGGUUAUUAAAAAGAGCAAUUUUCAGAUAAUAGGCAAUUCUCAGGGAAGAACAUUUACUGGUAGGAGGUGGUAGGACAGAGUGGGCUCUGAAGUCUGUCAUCCUAAAUCCACUAUUUUCUAUCUAGUUCAAAUGAGCAGCUCUCAUCUUUAAAGGCAGACAGACUCAUGUCUUUGGGUUCCUGCCCUUAAAAAGCUGUGGAUCAAAUCACUUCCUGCAUUUGGAAUCUCUCAUGGUGUCUUGUACAGAUGAACUGUGAGGAACUGUUAGGAAAGAUGGAGAGGGAGGAGCGCUGGCUUUAAUCUGGUCCUGGUGCAACCGUAGGCAACCAACUUUCUCUUCCUCUGUGAAAUGGCGGUCUGAUAGGGAAAUGUGGCAGUUCUGUGAAAGCACCUGGGUGUGAGAAAAGUCUGCUAAACCUUAUUGUUGACUAUGAAUCAGACUGAGACACUGAGCUCAGCGGGGUUAGCUGUAAAACCCAGCCCCCUGUGCUAACCCAGAUGGCUUCUUAGGGACACUGAAAUCUGCAUACCAGCAACGCCACGUUGGAGGUCUGGUUUUGUGGACACAGAGGUUAAAGUAGCAGCUACAGUUUAGUCUGUCAAGUUCCACAAGAAUGCCCUGUCACUUCCCCGGAAUGUGGGCUUCAUCUCUUAUUAUUUUUAGGGAUGCUGUUCAUCCCCUUGGAUGCGUGCUCCAUGCUUUGGCAGAGCCUGUUCUCUCACAUCACAACUCUCAAACUCAUCUGUGAGUGAUGAGCUGAGUGUCCUGUAGCUCUAGGAAGUCAUAUCUUAGAUUAAAAAACAAAACUCUAAGGAAGGAACAGCAGCAUGGACGACAUGGAGAGGCAAGAAGCACUGAUGAUCAGGUCCCGUCAUCACCACCAAUGAGCUGGGUGAUCCUUGGUUAAGCCCCUACACCUUUCUAAACAACUUUUCUCUCCAUCCUCUUGUUUCCAUCCCAGGUACCUCCUGGCUCACAUCUCGUCUUCUCUCACCAGCACUAUUUCAGGAGGCUUGGAAAGGCCUCCUUGCUGAUAGAGUUGUUUUUCUAAGGCACAGGUCUCAUCAUGUCACUUCUCGGUUUACAGUAUCCAUGACUUUCCUUUAGGCUGAGCAUCUAAUUCAGGACACCAGGGCCUUCAUACUCUGGUCUCCUUCCUGCCUUUCCAGCUGCUCCCAGGACACAUAUUUACAUUCUAGCCAGUUAGAGGCCUCUCCUCUGUGAGACCGGUGGUCCCCAGCCUCUCUGCAGGCUGCUCUUGCCUCCUGAAAUGCCCUUCCAUCCUUGUCCAUUUGACAAGCUCAUUAUUGCUCAUCUGAAAAUGUUCAUACUUGACCAGUCUGGCCAACAUGGUGAAACCUCGUGUCUACUAAAAAUACAAAAAUCAGCCAGGUGUGAUGGUGUAUGUCUGUAGUCCCAGCUACUUGGGAGGCUGAGGCAGGAGAAUCACUUGAGCCCGGGAGGUGGAGGCUGCAGUGAGUCAAGGUGGCACCACUGCAUUCCAGCCUGGGUGAAAGAGCAAGACUCUGUCUUAAAAAAAUAAAAAAUUAAAAAAUAAAAUAAAAAUGUUCAUACCCUUUGAUCCAUUAAUUCAGUACUUGAAAACUUACUCAAAGGAAAUAAAUAUAAAAUACGGAAAAAGUUUUAUGCUCAAAGAUGUUCACUGCAGAAUUAUUUAUAUUGGUACUAAAUUAGCAAUAUCCUAAGUGUCUAACAUUAGGGCAAUAGAUAAGUAAACUAUGGUCAAUCACAAAAUAGAAUACCACAGAACUAUUAAAAAUGAUGACAGAAAGCUGGUUGUCAAAGCAUAAUUUUCAAAAAGUUAAAAACAUGAUUCUCAUACAAAUAUAUAGUGAAUACGUGGCAAAGAUUUAUUUAAUUUAUUAUUGAGGAAGUCAGCAGGGUGGCAAAGCUAGUUUUAAAAAGACCAGAAAAAAAUGUGUAGUCACAGGAAAAAAAUUACUGAAAUCAGAUUACUAAAUCAAAUACAAAACUGGCUAAUACCCUACAAGGCAAUAAAUUCUAACCUUUGGGAUAUUUUCAGUCAAACAGAAAUCAUUUUUAUCUUUACUGGCAAGAGUCAUUUAUAACUUAUCAGCCUUCCGUAAGUUAAUAGGUAACUUUACAGAAUUUGGGACCUCCACCAGUGCUUCUCAAAUUUUACUGUGUAUAAGAAUCACAUGAGGAACUCUAUUAAAAUGCAGAUUCUGAAUUAGAGUCUAGAAUGGGGCCUGAGAGCCUAGAUUUCAAAUAAUCUCCCCCAUGAUGCUGAUGCUGCUGGUCUGUGGACCACACUUUGAGUAGAAAGGGGCGAGGGGAUGCUCCAGUAUGACACUGAAAGGAUAUGUAAUCAUCUUUUUGCCUGAUUUCCAAAUUUUAGAUACUUUUGAAAACAUAGUAAUAAUGUGGGAAAAUGAUGUUUAUUAUGCUAAGUUAAAAAAUCAGAAGAUGCUGGCUCAUGCCUAUAAUCCCAGCACUCUGGGAGGCCAGGGUGGGAGGGUUGCUUGAGCCUAGGAGUUCAAGAUGAGCCUGGGUAACAUAGUGAGACCUUGUCUCUACAAAAACACAGAAAUUAGCUGGGCAUGGUGGCAUGCAACUGUCGUCCCAGCUAUUUGGGGAGCUGAGGCAGGAGGAUCAUUUGAGCAUGGGAUAUCGAGGCUGAAGUGAGCUGUAACUGUGCCACUGCGCUCCAGCCUGGGUGACAGAGCAAGACCCCGUCCAAAAUAAAAUAAAAUAAAAUAAAUAGGUUGGGUAUGGUGGAUCACACCUGUAAUUCCAGCACUUUGGGAGACCAAGGCGGGUGGAUCAACUUGAGGCCAGGAGCUCAAGCCAGCCUGGCCAACAUGGCGAAACCCCGUCUCUACAAAAAUUAGCCAGGUGUGGUGGCGCACACCUGUAAUCACUUGAAUCUAGGAUGUGAAGGCUGCAGUGACCUGAGAUUGUGCCACUGCACUCCAGCCUGAGCGACACAGUGAGUCUCAAAAAAAUAAAAUAAAAAAUAAAAAAUAAAAAGAUUAUCUAAUACGUAGAAGACUUCAGCUUUGCAGCAAUACAGUAGGAACCCUUUAAAGUAAACAGGUGUUUUUUUGAUAUUAUGAAUAUUAUUUCUCUUUUCUACGUUUUACUAUUUUUUAAAUUGAGCAUUUUAAAGGCAAGUAAAACCAUUUUAUUUUUUUAAAGGAGAGACUCUGCUCCAAUAUCUGCUUUCCCAAGAAGCCUGCCUUACUCCUGUUUUCAGCAGAAUUAAUCAUUCUCUGAGCUCUUGGAAACAUAGUGAUUUUCAACCUCCUAUAGCAUCCCAGUGUAUACAAUGGAGCUUCUUAGGUGGGCAGCUAGAACCCAGACUACUCAGCCCCCAUUUGUUUUUAUUUUUUGGAGACAGGGUCUCACUCUGUUGCUUAGACUGGAGUGAAGUGGUACAAUCUUGGCUUACUAUAGCCUCAACCUAUACUAUAGCCUCAAUCACUUGAGGUGGGCUCAAGUGAUUCUCCCACCUCAGCCUCCCAAGUAGCUGGGACUACAGGCAAACACCACCACAGCCAACUAAUUAUUAUUAUUAUUAUUUGUAGAGAUAGGAUUUUGCCAUGUUGCCCAGGCUGGUCUUGAACUUCUGGGCUGAAGUUAUCUGCAUGCCUCAGCCUCCCAAAGUUCUGCAGGUGAGCCACUGCACCUGACCCAGCCCCUCUUUCUAAGCCCUGUUCCUCCCUAACCUGACCUCAGCUGCACUGAACAAACUCAAGGGAACCCAUGGCUCCAACAAAACAGAGUUUUAAAACCACAGCUGUAUACUUCAGAGUCCCAGUUCUAGGUCCUUCUCACUCUUUAAGGUAAUGAUAAAUCUUCCUGUCUACGGACUCCAGUAAACUGUGAUUUGUAUACAAUAAAGACAUGAAUGCAUGCAUUCCUGUCACCUGAACCAAGGCACUGAUUCAUUAUAUGAUUCAUGAAUAUACAAAUUAAUACAUUCAACAUCAUUUCUGCUAUAAAAUCAGAUGAAGUAUGAACACGACUCAGUUUGCAACAAAAGAGAUGUGGGAUUUGAAGUGGAGUCUCUGAGUGUGAUUAUUUUCUCUCUCCUUCAAAAAUAUAUUUGCAAAUGUUAUAUCUUUUGGGGGAGUCCUGGCCAUCCAUCCAUCUGUCCAUCCGCCCAUCCACCACCUAUCCAUCUGUCAAUCAACCUGUCCAUCUGCUCUGUCCAUCCGUCUGUCCGUCGUUCCAUCCAUCCAUUCAUCCAUCCAUCCAUCCAUCCAUCCAUCCAUCCAACCAACCAACAAAUGUGUCUGCAGUAUCUCCUAUGUGCUAGACAUUGUGGAAAUUCAUUGAUGAAUAAAACAGGCAGUCUUUGCUUUCACAGAACUUCCAGCUUCUAGAGACUACUAGUCAAUUAGAAAAAUAAAUGCAUCAUUAUAACUGUGGAAGUGCUACAAAGGAGAAGUUCAUGAUGAUAAAAGAUCCUCAUGAUAGAGGCAUGGGAGUGAACAGAGUUCCCUGAGGAGCCAUUUGAGCUGAAGGUGAAAGGACAAGCAGAAGUUUACCAGCUAAACAAGGGAGGGAAGAUCAUUCCAAGGAGAGGGAACAUGAUGUGCAAACCCCCUUUGGCAUGAGUGAACUUGGCAAGGGUGAGACACUGCCAUUGGACAGUGAACUGGAGCCAACAGGAUGAACAAGAAGCAGCGGGAAGAUGUUCAUGAUAUGCUGGAGAGACAGGAGCUGGAGGCUGCAGUAAGAUCUCCAUGCUUUACCUUAAGAGGAAUGAGAAGCCACUGGAGGAUUUUGAGCAGGGCAGUGAUGUGAUUUGCAUUUUGCAAAGUACACUGCAAAAUGAAUCUAGGUCAGAAGAGAUAACUGAAUGUGGGAGUACAAGGAAAAAGCCCCCGUGAGAGGGCUGCGGGGGAAAUGGUUUCCCCAGGUUAGAUCCACGCUUUCAGUAAGAAAGGAGGUGGUGUGAAAGGAGAAGAUUGACUGAGGAGGAGGAGAAGUCUGCUGGUUUUGGGGGAGUGGCUGUGAGGGUCGUAGCAGGCUGAGCUGGGGAAGGCAGGAGCUCUGGCCAGUGAAGGGAUGGCUGAUGGCCUGGUGCGGACCCUGGCUGGAGGGCUCACACACUGGACGCUGACUAACAAAACAGACGAAAAUGGGGAGUAUGAGGAUCUGUCUCAAGGGGGCCUUUGAGGAGGGCAAACAGGCCUUUGAGACAGGUCCAGACACUGGCACCCUGCCUGCUUCUGUAGAAUUUAACGUACCUGAGGUUGCCAAGCUGGUGUCAUGGAGUGGCCAGAAGCCAGCUUCCAGUCUGAGGCAGUGGGUGAACCUAAACCACACUAUUUGAUUCACUUCUGUGUUUCUGGAAACUUUUAUGUUCUGAUCAAUGCAAAUAUGCCUACUGUAACAGCUGGCAAUGCCCAUGUCUCCACAAGGCCUGAGAAUAUGAUCACAAUGGCAGUACAUCUCACCCAGGCUUCUGCUGGAUGGAGGGCUUCCAGAGACGGAGGGACAGCUCGGUCAAUACCAUCCAAGAGGAGGUUCAACUCCAGACCUAGGCCAGCUGAAGGUCAAUGACAAGGGCAAGAUGCUCUCUGCAGUCAACAUCACACACUUGUCUCAAUAGAAGGAAGGAAUUUAUAUAAAAUAAGAAGUGGAAAGAGAAUAACAUCUGUGACAGUGAGAUGACAUUUCCACCCGAUUCUGAUUCCAUCUAAUAGCCAGUGCAGGUGUGGGGGAGGGAGGAGGGAGACAGGGUGGUUGGGGCUGGAAUAAAUGUUUUCAGCAGAACCAUGCCUCAGAUGGCUCUCAGAACUCAGCCUAGAAGGCAAGCCAGUUCAGAGGCACAGGGAGACUUAUGGAGACGACAUAAAUGAACAGAAAAUAAACUGUACAUUUGGCAAGACUGGCACUGUAAGUCUGUGCUGUGAUGAACAGAGAUGUCAAACAUGCCCCAUGCCUGCCAGGUGUCAUGUUUCCAAAAUCCCUUUCUCUGUCAGAGUUUGCAGAGGAAUGAGCUGGGCUUUCUAAUUCCUGUUACUGGUAAUGGAUCACAUUUGUAGAGUACUUACUAUGCACCAGGCACCAUGCUGAGAGGUUUACUAUCUACUACUCCCCAUAAUCCUCACAUUGCUCUUGAGAGAGAGAGGGAUGGAGCUCAUUUACCUCAAGCGAUGGAGAAUCCCGAGGAGUCUUCAUUCUCCCCUUGACUGCACAUCUGUGCAUCUAGUUAAGGACCAGGACACAAUGGGAAGAGUUCCAAAGCCAACUGACCACCAAAUAAGUCUGAGCAUGAUGUGCUCCUGAGGCCAUUAGAGCCAAGGGUCACUCCUAAGACAGAGGGUCAGCUGUCUACCACCCAGGAAUGCGAUUCCUCCCACCUGCUCUGUGUGUGGGCUCUGGGCUACAGGACAGCACAGGCCAGAGGGGUAAGGGGUCAAGGGAGACUCAGGGCUCGCCAACAGGCAGAGCUGUGGCCAGAAAUUCCUCUUCCACUGACCGGCUGUGGGGCAUCCAGCAGGCUCCUUCACUCCCGGAGCCUCUGUUCCAAAGAAGAUGGAAGUUGUAGUGCCUAGUUCACAGGGGUGAUGUCAGAGUGACAGGAGGUAAUCAUAGCACAUGCCUAGCACUUCACAGGAAUUCAGCAGAUUCGAGCACACCUCACACAAUGAGGUCAUUCAUCUUAAUGGGACAUGGACACGCACACUGAGCACAGCACCCAAGCUCUGAGUGCAGAACAUUUCCAUCUGUGGCCAAGACUCGGUUCUCUGCCCAGAUCCUUUUGGGUCCCCUCUCUUGAUUUGGCCUGCCCAGCCCCCAGGUUUGUCAUGCCUUCACUUCUAGAGGCCUGCCUCACUUUUAGAGGGUAAAGUGGCUUGGGGUUACUACCUCUGGAACAGCCCCAACCAAUGACUGGCAGAUACAGGAGUGUGAGACCCCAGCUCCCCUGCUUCCAGGCAGGACCAACUCCGAGGUCAAGAUCAGGGUGGAGCUAAGAUGGUCCCUGAAAUCUCACCCUUGCUUCCCUUCUCCUCUUUCCUAUCCUGUCCCAUUUAUUUCUGGGUCUCAUUAGGAGCAUCUCCCUAAAUAAACUGCUUACAUGAUGCCCUCAUCUCAGGGUCUGCUUCUUGAGAAUCCAGCCCAAGACACCAUCUGACUUCAUCUUGAAUGCCUGAUCUUCCUUGUCCACGUGGGAAAUUCCUUCAAUACUUGUUCGGGGGUCACUCCUUCUGUGAAACCUGUCUUGACCUCUUCAGCACAGAUACUCUGGGCACGUAUGCAUACAGUGCUGCAGGGGUGUGAUGUGUGUGCACGUGUGUGUGUGUGUGUGUGUGUGUGUGUGUGUGUGUGUGUGUGUGUGUUGACCUGUUUGGGGCUGUGGAAGUCUUGAGGGUAAAAAUUUCAUCUUGUUCAUAGUUACUGGGGGUAUAACUAGCAUCUAGUGAAAGCCUUUGAUGGACUGGGCAACCUUCUGAGAAUACAACUUUCCAUAGCAGUGGCUUCUUUAGAGCCCACGGGUCCAGUGAGGGGGUAUGGAAGCCACCAAGAGGGAGUUCCAGGAACCUCACCCCUGAGUCAACUGAAGCAUAUUUCAAUUUAGAAAUGGGUUCUGUUGCCUAAAAAUAAUAAUGAUGAUGAUCAUACUCAUCAUGACGACUGGAAACUUUGAUUUAGAGUAAACUGACCAGGACUUGAGGAUUUGGGGAGAAGGAGGCUCAUUUUUCAUGUGGUUCAUCUCCUUGGCCAUCUCUUUAUGCAAUGACAGCCACUAUUAACAGAGUGCCACCGUGGAUGUGCUGUGCAAGGGGCUUUGCAUCGAGAUGACACUGGAUCACUCCCAGCCCUCCAGGAUAAGCAUUCCUUACGUGUGAGUGGCACCGGUCACCGCACCUUCACUGACAUAGACAUACUGUCCACUUGCUCUGUCUCCUCUGCCACCCUGACCUCUUGCCAGGUGAAAAUCGCAGCCUUCUAACCAGCUCCUUAUUUCCACCUUUGCCCCUAAAAUCCACCAUCCACACAGUGGCCUACGAUUUUUAAAGAACAUACACUGGAUCAUGCCAUUCCCUGCUCCAAACAGAAGCUUUCAAUGGCUUUCCUUUGUAAGUGCCCAGUGGUGUUACCUGGCAUGGACCCUGCCUAGGUCUACCAUGGUUCUCUUCACUGCUAACCAGCUUCCUGCUACCUGGUCUUUCAGUGCCUUGAAGAGGCCAAGCCUUUUGGGGCUCCAUACAGCUCUCCUCCCCAACUGAGACACUCUUCCUCAUGCUUGGCAAGCGAAUUCCUUCUCAUCUGCCAGUCUCAGCUUCCUUGUAGAAACAUUCCUCGACCCCCAAUCUAAAGCAGGCUACUCCCUGGGGACUAACCUCAACUGGAAAUAGAAUUCUUGUUUGCGUCCUUGCUGACUGCUGCCCCCUCGGCCAGCUCUGGGAGGGCACGGAUCAUGUCUCUUUUGUUCCCCAUCGAGUCCCCAGUGCCUAGCACAGUGCCUGGCUCUUAGCAAGCCCUCAAUAAAUAUUCAUCAAACAAAUAAGCAAAUGAUGACCAUUAGAAAAUAUGACUCGUGUGUUUGGAAAACUAUACCGAGAGUUUUCUCAAUUCUUGAUGGUCAGAGCUUAAUUCUCACAUGUGGGGAGGUGGGUGAAGAGAAAGAACUACUCACCACCCACUGCUGAUGGCAUAGGAUGGGGGCGGUGAUGACCCUUCAACAACCCUCCUCUUCAUCCUACAUCUCAGCAUAAUGUGAGGUUCAAGGGGGGAAAGAUUCUAUUGUCACAUGGAACAUGAUUGUAACUAUAAUUGGUCACAUAAAUGAUAAAUAACAAGUCACAGUCUAUUUCAUGACAGUAAAAGCAGUAAACUUUGCCUCUAGAAGCAGUACACCAAAGGAAUGGUAAGUGGCAUUUUUUUGGAGUAAUCUUGCUUGCCAUGUUGAAAGAUGCCUCUCUGGUUGAGAUACCAGGCUUGCAUCUUUGGUGAGGGCAGUGUUAGGGAGUGGUGUGAAGGGGCAACUCACAUGUGGGCAGGACUGUGGAGGGGCUGUGCCACCCUGAGCAGCAGCUAUGCACCAGCCCUUCUUCUAGGAGCUUCAUGCUGGUAUCACUGAACCUUCUCAGCAACUCCAGAAAGUAGAAAGGUUUCUGCCUGACUCCAGAGCACGAGGUAGAGAGAAGCCAGGGAUAGCUGUGUCCAGUGUCCAGGACACCAUGCCAGACUUCCUGCGCCUGGACGCAGCCUAUAGCCCUCAGGUUUCCAGAUCCCUCUGAUUUUUGGUCUGGUUCUCCAGCCUUCCAGCGCAAUUCUGAGCACUUCCACUGGAUAGCCUUCGAAUCCAUUCUGAUUCUGCUGAAAUGAGACAGAGCCAGUCUUUCCAGCUGUCACCAAAGACCUCAGUCUGGUGCAUGCUCCAUAUGGCAGCAGCUUACCGACUCAUCUGUGGACUUACAAGUUUAUCAUGUAUUCUGCUAUUUGAAAAUAUCAAGAAAAUAGCAAGAAUUCAUGCACGCUUCUCACACAGACUGAGACGGGAGUUUGAGGGGAUGUCUUGCAGUAACAGAGCUGAUUCCAUAAAGUCUUGAUUUGCCUUGGGGGAGUUUCUGGCUUCAGGGGUCCUUUCCUCUUCUGUGGGCCUCAGUAACCAAUUCAGGGAUCAGAGAAAGCGCCUUCACCCCUCAGCCUCACCUGAUAACUUUUUAUGGCUGCACGAAGACAGAUGAACGUCUCCGGAGCCUACUCAUUUUCUUUCUGAAGGCCUUCUCAGAGAUAAAUUCCUUUUCUUUCUGCAGGCCAGCUUUCCAGGGCAUGAUUAACUACGUUUCUCCUGUUCUUCAUCUUUAUAGUUUCUGUGGGCCUCAAACAACACUUUCUGCAUUUUCCCCUCUCGCCCCCUACUCAUCACUCCCUGAAAGGUAAGUAGAGUUGGGUUGAAGAUGAAAUUCAACAUGUAAUUGGCACCUCGCAACCAGCACUUUGAUUCUGCAGUCACACAGGUCUCACAUGGCAUUCUCAGGUUUGGGUCUGUACAGAGCCAGGUCUGGCUGAUGUGGCUGGUCCUAGAAACAUGCUAACAUGCUCCCUGAGAAACGCCCUGGAGCCUGUCAUUAGUGAACCAGGCAAAGCCUCAAGAAUCUAUGGCAUAUUUCUAGUUAUUCACCCAAAUGCUCUGUAAAGCACAACUUGUACCAUGGCAUAAAAAUAAAAGAUAUAAAGAAUCACAGGACAUGUGUGCAUGCUCCAGACGCCCUGGAGGCUUCCUGUGCCAGUGUUCCCACAAGUGGCGUAAACCUGAGGGCAUCAUGUUAUGAGAUGGGGGCUGCAGUGACUCGCAGGAUCAGGCAUUCCAACCGAGAGAACCGAGCAGAAUGGGAAAUCAGCAAGAUGAAGCCCUCUCCUGCUCCCAGGCACCCCUCUACCAACAGCCUCCUGUGAGAGCAGAUUAGUCUCUAUCCAGAAAUUAAGGGAGAGAUUGCUCAUAAAGAUGACAAGCUGCUGCCAUUUCUAAAAGAUGUGUAUGUUGAUUCCAAAGAUCUUGUGUCUUCCGCGCAGGUAAAAGCUGCUGAAACACAUCAAGAGCCAAAGGAAUUCAGAUUGCUGAAAGGUCAUCACUUUGAUAUGAUAAAUAUUAAGAGCAUUCCCAAAGGCAAAAUUUCCAUUGUAGAAGCACUGACACUUCUUAACAAUCAUAAACUUUAUCCAGAAACAUGGACUGCUGAGAAAAUAGCGCAAGAAUACCAAUUAGAACAGAAAGAUGUGAAUUCCCUUCUUAAAUAUUUUGUUACUUUUGAAGUCAAAAUCUUCCCUCCUGAAGACAAGAAAGCAAUACAAUCAAAAUGAAGAAAAUCACAAAAAUUUCCUAUGUGUACUCCUCAUCCCUCAUCCUGACUAUUUUCUCAUUUUUGGCAUA
rnacentral:lncRNA from 1 species